GGCUCAGGAUGAACGCUGGCGGCGUGCUUAACACAUGCAAGUCGAACGAAGCACUUCAAUCGAUUCUUCGGAAUGAAGUUUAGUGACUGAGUGGCGGACGGGUGAGUAACGCGUGGGUAACCUGCCUCACACAGGGGGAUAACAGUUGGAAACGGCUGCUAAUACCGCAUAAGCGCACAGUACCGCAUGGUACAGUGCGAAAAACUCCGGUGGUGUGAGAUGGACCCGCGUCUGAUUAGCUGGUUGGUGAGGUAACGGCCCACCAAGGCGACGAUCAGUAGCCGGCCUGAGAGGGUGAACGGCCACAUUGGGACUGAGACACGGCCCAAACUCCUACGGGAGGCAGCAGUGGGGAAUAUUGCACAAUGGGGGAAACCCUGAUGCAGCGACGCCGCGUGAGUGAUGAAGUAUUUCGGUAUGUAAAGCUCUAUCAGCAGGGAAGAAGAAAUGACGGUACCUGACUAAGAAGCACCGGCUAAAUACGUG
rnacentral:rRNA from 1 species